AAGGCUUUUGUGUUUUAAGUGGCUGUUCAGGGAACGCGAGCCCGCCGCGGAGCUAGGUGUGGUCUGUGGUUUUUUAGGGAUGGAACAAGAGGCUGAGGGAUUCUUCAAGCUGGUGUCUCAAAUCAGCACGAAAGCAUUGUCAUUUUUGCACAUGGAACUGCCUCACUGGCCCUAUUUGAUUGGUCCAGGAAUGUCAAACUGGCUCAACGUAAGCCAUUUAACUCCAGUGACAGUUGAUUGAUCCAUAAUGUGACACAGGUUGGAUUUCUUUCUCUUCCUACUCCUGAGGGUUCUUAUUGGGUGACCUGAAUUUGAAGUCUCUUCACGUUUAUAUCAUAGUCAUUUUUGCACCAGAUCCUGGUGCCAUCAACACACAACCAGCCGUUUCAACACCUUCCCUCUCCCAUAAUUAUACAGCAGAAAAAAAAAUGAAAUCCGGUCAUUUGCAACAAAAUGGAGGAAUCUGGAAAACAUCAUGCUGAGUGAAAUAAACCAGUACCAAAGGGAUAAAUAUCAUAUGUUCUCCCUGACUAGUGACAACUAAUCAAGCAACAAAAAGGAAACCUGUUGAAGUGAAUUGGACCCUAUGAGAAACAGUGACAUGAACAGCCCUUGUCCUGACUGUCGAGGA